UUGUCCCAAUGAUACUUCAUACCAAAUUUUAAAACAAUUGGGCCAGUAGUUAUUAAGAAGAAGAUAAAGAUGUUCAAUUGUUAACGCACGACUCACGACAACCAAUUGCAAUAGGUCACCUGAGUUUACUCAGGUGACCUAAAAAUCUCACUUGAGCUCUUGGCUCAGAGGAACUAGCAAUUUAAUUAAAGGUAAAGAGAGGUUUUUUAAAAUGUUUGUAUUGGAUGUACAUUCCUGAUCACUCACUCAGGCCAACGAUAAAAAUUGUUGAGUUUCCGCUAACGUUCCAGAAAAAAAUAGGGUAGGUAGGUAGGAAAUAAUUUUUUUUUUUUUUUAAAUUUUAUUUUUUCAAAGUAUGCAAAAACAUUGUAAACUCUUAACAAGUGUAGUAUAGGAAGGAGGAGAAAAUCUUUGGUUGUACCGGGAAUCGAACCCGGGACCCCUGCAUUACUAGGCAGGUGCUCUAACCACUGAGCUAUCCAGUCCGUAUAGCCCUAAUUACUACAUUCCUCCCUCCUUAAGAUCAAUUAUAAUUGUCUUUCAAUAUCAACCCAGGUUCUUUUCGCCCCUGACAGGCCAACCUGCACCACCAGGGGGGGUCAACGGCACCAAAUGUAGUAUGGGAAGGAGAAAAUCUUUGGCUGGACCCCUGCAUUCCUAGUCAGGUGCUCUAACCACUGAGCUAUCCAGGCCGAUAUCCACGGUCCGUAUAGCCCCAAUUACUGCACAAGUUAAAUGUUCUAUUGAAUGUAAAACUUAUACGGUACCAAUUUUGAUGCACCAGAUGCGCAUUUCGACAAAUAAUGUCUCUUCAGUGAUGCUCAACCGAAAUGUUUGAAAUCCGAAAUAACUAUGAAGUUUUAGAGCUAAAUAUAGCCAAAAACAGCGUGCCAAAAAAGUGGAGCCAAAUUCGUCCAAGGAUAAGAGCUAUGCAUGAGGGAGAUAAUCCUUAAUUUUGAAAUGAAUUUUAAAAUUUUAUAACAACAAUUAAAUAUACAUCCGUAUUUUCAAGCUAGUAACGAAGUACUUAGCUACUGGGCUGUAGAGACCCUCGGGGACUAACAGUCCACCAGCAGAGGCCUCGACCCAGGGGUCAUAAUGUAAAACUUAUACGGUACCAAUUUUGAUGCACCA